rnacentral:rRNA from 1 species
AGCAGUCGCCGCGGUAAUACAGAGGGUGCGAGCGUUAAUCGGAUUUACUGGGCGUAAAGCGUGCGUAGGCGGCUUUUUAAGUCGGAUGUGAAAUCCCUGAGCUUAACUUAGGAAUUGCAUUCGAUACUGGGAAGCUAGAGUAUGGGAGAGGAUGGUAGAAUUCCAGGUGUAGCGGUGAAAUGCGUAGAGAUCUGGAGGAAUACCGAUGGCGAAGGCAGCCAUCUGGCCUAAUACUGACGCUGAGGUACGAAAGCAUGGGGAGCAAACAGGAUUAGAUACCCCGGUAGUCCCUGUCUCUUAUAC